rnacentral:lncRNA from 1 species
AAAAAAAAAAAAAAAAAAAAUCAAAAUCUAUAUAAUUAAGCAUUGUUUUUUAAAAAGUAGUUUAGGAAGAUUUGUAAAGCUUAUGAACCAUUGUAAAACCUUAUUUCUAAGGUCUGUAAGACAGUUUUAUAUGUAAUAAUGUGUCCAUUUCCAGGAAUUCCCCAAAUACUCAUACAGCCAUUGAGCACCCCAAUCCAAAAUUCAGAAUGCUUCAGAUAAGAACAUUUUUGAGUGCCGAUGUGACACUUUAAAGGAAAUGUUCAUUGGAGCAUUUUGCAUUUCAGAUUUUUGGAUUAGGAAAACUCAACCACUGUAUUUCUGCACAUAUUCCAAAAUCUGAAAAAGUCUGAAACCUGAGAAACUCUGGUCCCAAGCAUUUUGGAAAGGGUAUACUCAAUCUGUAUUAACAUAGACUUCUAAAUUAGUGAAAAUUUGCAUUGAAUUAAAAUGUGAAGUAAAUAUUUUUGUUUAAAUAUUGUUUAAAAUUUAGUCAUUUAAAAAUUUUGUGAUGUAACAAAAUGUUGAAUGAAAUAAUGCUUCUACAACUUAAAAUUAUUUUUCAUAGUGAACAAAACUAGUUGAAUACUUCUAAAUAUUCAUUUUUGUUAGUGCACAUUUUAUCCAGUUUUAGGCUUUAGGGAAUUGUGACCCUUUUUUUUUUUUUUUUUUUUUUUUUGGAGACGGAGUCUUGCUCUCUCGCCCAGGCUGGAGUGUGUGGCGCAAUCUCAGCUCACUGCAACCUCUGAUUCCUGGGUUCAAGCAAUUCUCAUGUCUCAGCCUCCCUAAUAGCUAGGAUUACCGGUGCCCGCCACCACGCCCAGCUAAUUUUUUAAAUUUUUAAUGGAGACAGGGUUUCACCAUGUUGGCCAGGCUGGUCUUAAACUCCUGACCUCAGGUGAUCCACCCACCUUGGCCUCCCAAAGUGCUGGGAUUACAGGCUUAAGCCACCGUGCCCGGCACUUUUGUUUUUAAAAUAAUAUCUUACUUUCAUAUGAUUCUUUCAGACUGUGGUAUGGCAUUCUGAAGCAAGUCUUAACAGAGCUAAAAAUCACCCUUACCCAAUUCUCUGCACUGACAUAUGUACACAAAGUAAUAUUUUAUUAUUCUCCUUCAUAAAUGGUUUCUUUAAUUGAACCUUUGAGCCUUAUACUAUUUUUAAAUUUCCCUUUAAAAAUUGAAUUACAGCCAGGCAUGGUGGCUCAUGCCUGUAAUCCCAGAACUUUGGGAGGCCAUGGCAGGAGGAUUGCUUGAACCCAGGAGUUGUAGACCAGCCUGGGCAAGAUAGCGAGAUCCUGCCUCUGAAAAAAUCAUAAUAAUACUUUAAUUUAGAAAAUACCCUGAAUUAGAAGUGCUUCAUUCCUCAUUUGUGUACAGCUGUUCCUCUAUAUACGAAGGGGAUUGGUACCAGAACCACUGCAUACCAAAUUCCACCCAUACUCAAGUCUCACAGUCUUCCCUGCAGAAUCCAAGUAUACAAAAAGUAGGCCUAUCAUUUAUAUGGGUUUUGCAUCCUGACAGUACUGUAUUUUCAAUCCUAGUUUGUUUGGGAAAAAAAAAUUGUUUGUAUGCCUGGGUACAGUAUCAUACCUGUAAUCCCAGCACUUUGGAAGGCUGAGGCGGGAGGACUGUUUUGUGGCCAGGAGUUCAAAAUCAGCCUGGUCGACGUAGUGAGACCCCAUCUCUACAAAAGAAAAAUUAGCUGGGCAUGUGGCACCUGCCUGUGGUCCCAGCUACUCAGGAGGCUGUGAGGCAGGAGAAUUGCUUGAGCCUGGGAGGUUGAGGCUGCAGUGAGCCGCGAUCACACCACUGCAUGCCAGCCUGGGCGACAGAGUGAGACCCUGUCUCAGAAAAGAAAAAAAAAGUAAAAAUUGCAUGUAAGUUGACCCGCACUAUUCAAAUUUGUGGUGUUCAAGGUUCAACUGUAAUUUCCUAGCAGCAUUUUGUGUGUUUGAGAAUCUCUUGACACUCUUCAAGUAAAUCCCUAAAUUACAACUUUGACAUCAAAAAAGCUAGACAUUCCUACAUUUUUGCACUACAAUACAUAAAAACUCCCAUGCUGAUCGGUUGUGGGAUCGUGCCUGUGAAUAACCACUGCACUCCAGCCUGGGCAACAUAGUAAGUAAGACCUUGUCUCUUAAAAAAAAUACAUUCUGAAGAAAGUUCUACUUAUGAAUACAUUUUAUUUAUAACAAACUGGUGAAAAUUUUAGACCAAACCAUGUCUUUCUGGGUUGUAGUGAUUAAAAAAUGGUUAAGAGAAUGUUCCCUAUACAAGGCAUAUGUUAUUAAACAUGAAAUUUAGGAUUAGUUUUCUCUUUGAAAAUUCUUUUGAUAUGCUGAGGUUACAGUUUGGAGGUUACAUUAGAGAAAGAAUAUAGGGAAGAUGGCAGUGGUAAAACAUUUCCCUGCUUUACAUUUUUAUAUUGGCAGUAUCUUGGUUUCAACUUUUCUAUUUUCAGCAAGAUAUUUGCAAGUUUUUACUUUGAAGAUGUUUGGUUUAUAGUAGUCCAUGCUAUACUAAUGCUGUUGCUGAGAUAAUUAAGUUAGAUACUAAUAUGAAAAAGAAUAUUUGUGUAAAAUAUUUUGAAGUUGUAAUUAGUGUAUAUACAAGUUGUUAAUACUUACGAAAAAAGGAAGCAUUCCCACCUGUAAUAAUUUUGUUAACACUAGACUAUCAGUAAAUUAUCAAGAAUAAAAACCUUGGUUUUUCUGUAAUAUUUGCCACUGAGCAAUUUUUAUUAAAAACCAAACAGAAGUAUUUACACAAGAACAAGUGAAAUUACACAAAAUGAUAAUGGGGAGAAAUUUCUCAUCUGGUGAUAAAGGGAAAAAGAUAAUGUAAAAGCAGAUUGCUGCUAUUUGCAUAAUAAGCACUUGUUGAAGAAUAAAUGAUUAAGUUCAAUAUUUUUGCUCUAUUUUAUACCUACUCACUUUGGUGGAAUUAGUUCUCCAUGUAAAGUAUCUUUUUAAUAGUAAGCACCAUUUAAUAAUGAAACAACUCAUAUGUUUUGUAAUCCUUAUGGAGAAUUACUUCAUGUGAUAAUUAUAGUCUCUUCAUGGAAAACAGUAAAAAUACUCACGUUUAUGAUGAUGGGCCUAGGUACUAAAUUCCUCAUUCAAUCUUUUUUUACCAAAUGGUACUUAAUAAAAUCUUUUACCUUAUAAAAAUCUAUUUUCGGCCAGGCGUGAGACACUGUGCCCAGCCUGUCAGAGCUUUUGAGUAGAAAUACGGUAUCAGAAAUGUGCUUUAUUUUAUUUUAUUAGACAAAGUCUU